AGGAGGAGCUUCUUCAAAUUUAUUCGAAGGAGAUAGUUGUUGAAAUCCUUGAUGCGAUACUCAGGGCCUUCCACAUUGAUGGCCUCAACAUCGACUGGGAGGAUUGCAGUCGGAAGGACUUCACAGGCAACUUGGUUGUUUGCAAGGCCCAACCUGUAAUCUUGGGCUCCUUGCCCAAGAUGAGCAGAAGACUUUUGUGAGGCCAAAGCAAGAGGGUCGG
rnacentral:lncRNA from 1 species